rnacentral:rRNA from 1 species
ACUCCUACGGGAGGCAGCAGUAGGGAAUUUCCGCAAUGGACGAAGUCUGACGGAGCAAUGCCGCGUGAGUGAUGGAAGGUUUUCGAAUCGUAAGCUUCUGUUGUAAGGGAAGAAUAGCAAGAAUAGGAAAUGAUUCUUGUCUGACGGUACCUUACCAGAAAGCCACGGCUAACUACGUGCCAGCAGCCGCGGUAAUACGUAGGUGGCAAGCGUUAUCCGGAAUUAUUGGGCGUAAAGCGC